CUUCUUCUUCAGUUUUACUGGCGGACUACAGACCAGCUUUAAAGGUAGAUGCUGCCACCUGCUGCAUCGGACGGUGUACUACCAUGACUUGAUGUAGGUCGUUCCAAAGUUCGGGAGCAGCAACAGAAAAAGCUCUAUCCCCUCUGAGCUUCUGCUUGGACCUGGGUACAUCCAGGAGCAUCUCAUCAGCUGACCUGAGGCACCGAGCAGGAGCGUAGGGAUGGAGCAGCUCAGAAAGUUCAUCUGCACCAGAGACAGUCCAGUGGAGAAGGACACCAACCACCAACACAGAGACCUGACCCAUCCUGCAGGUUUGAACCCUGCCUGAGGUACAUCACACAGGAAAAUGAUGCAAAAGUUGUUUGUUGUGAUUUCUUGUCCAUUUUGACUUUCUGAAUUUCCAGCAUUGACCAGUGAGGAGGGAACAGAGAAUGGGUAAGUCCAUGUGAGCCUAGCUAGCUAGCUGGACAGGCAAGUUUUUUUUUGGGAAAAAAACUUUGAGCUGCUCAGGAGGAUCCUGAUCAGAUUUUGAACCACCUCAAAUGACCCCUUUCAACGUGAAGGAGCAGCAAUUCUACUCUGAGCUCCCUCCAAGAGCUGUGUUGUCUGGGGCUAACAGCCCCUGGAAGGGUCUCCCACGGCCCAGGAAGCAUCCUGAUCAGAUGCCCGAUCUUUGACCAAGGAUGUUCUGGUACCAGGUACAUUUCCAAACCUCUGUUUGAACAUGGUGUUUGUUAUGGCCCAUCCAUGAAUCGCACAGAAGUCCAAAAACAAAACCCCCCUCAGGUUCAG